GCGGCAGGGGCACUGGCAGCGGCAAUGGCAGUAACAGCAGGGCCGACAGAGCACGUGAAUGUGGCCGUGCUCGAUGCGGCAACAGCCACCGCGGCGACACUGCAGGCGGCAGCAGUGGCAGCGGCUCGGGCAGCAGCAGAAGCAGCUCACACCAGAGCCGUGCCCCAGUGCUGGUCAUCGACCACAGUGGAAGCAGCUCACGAGUCACCCUCGACUCAGGCUCACCAUACCACCUCACGGGUGACCACUCCCUGCUGCACAACCAUGUCCCCGCCGGCAUGCCACGGCUAAUCGGGUGGGGCAACAUGUCGUGGGAACAGGGCAGCUGCACCUGCAUACUCGUGAUGGACACAAUGUCUGGCUGUACAACAUGCUGCACGUCCCCAGCUCGGGCCUCACCCUGACGUCUGUCGACCUCGUGAGAGGUCGACAGACCUCAUGACACGCGGCUACUCGGUCACGUUCAGCAUGGACAAGACGGGCUGCUGGUUCUCAUGCAUCAGCCUCCUGCACAACAGCCCGUCUAUAACCGCAUGGAGUGAGCGUGGGCACUAUGCAUGGACGUGGACCUGCAGGCGCCGACCGACAUCACCGUCAAUGUCCUCAGCACCACGGGUGACAGAGCGGGCGGGGGCCAGGCCGCAGGUAGCAGCGCUGGCGGAAGUGCCGCCACCAUCACCAGCACCCGUGGCGGCAGCACCGCCGGCAGCCACACCGGUGGAGGCCAACCGAACGGCGACAGCAACGGCAAAGGGCAACCAGGCAACAGCAGCCCCG
rnacentral:lncRNA from 1 species